GCACUGCUUAGGAGUCCUAUAAUAGGACGAAACGGCCGUCCAGUGU
rnacentral:hammerhead_ribozyme from 1 species